AUCAUCUUGAGUUCUCAAAACAAAAAUCCAAAUGAAAUUUCAAAAAAAGUUCUUCCUAAGAUCCUUGUGCUAACACUAGCAAAAAACAAUUUAUUUUCAAGAAUAAAUUUUUUAUUUAAUUCAAUAAUCACGAUCCACAAAUAGAGUAAUCGCACAGUCCAUGUCACAAAUUAGCCGAAACGUGCAAAAAUGCAGAGUUCUUUGGACACUGAAAAAGCCAUUUCAAGUGGAUCCAUAUCAGGGUCAGACUCGGUCGGGUUUCUAAUUGGUCAAAGGGUCCAUUUCGUUGGAGAUACCCGCCGGAUCGGAACUGUGAAGUACGUCGGAGCAGUAGAAGGCUAUGGGGGAAUCUGGGUCGGUGUUGGUUGGGACAAUGGUGACGGUAAGCAUGAUGGGUCACAUAACGGGGUUCGCUAUUUCGAAGCCCAAGGUCCAAAAUCUGCUUCAUUCGUACGACCGCACAAUCUUAGCUCCGGAUUCCCACUCCUGAAGGCCCUUGAGUUAAGGUAUCAUGGAGAAUCCACUAAAGAAGAAGAAGAUGAGAUGUAUGUUCUUUCUGCGUCAAACAAAAGGGUUACUAUUGAGCUGCUGGGUAAAGAUAAGAUUCAAAACAAGCUGAGUCAAUUUGAGGAGUUGACAAGUGCAUCACUUGCUUAUUUAGGGGUUAGCUCAGCUGGACCCCCGGGUCAUAUCAAUACGACUAUACCAAGACUAAAGGAGCUUGAUUUGACUGGAAACCUGCUUUCUGAUUGGAAGGAAAUUGCUGCAAUCUGUAAAGAGUUACCAGCUCUUGUAACUCUGAACUUAUCAUACAACAGCAUGUCUCACGAUAUAAGUGGGAUGCCCCUGCUAAAUCACAUCAAAGUUGUUGUUUUGAGCCACACCGGUAUAGGCUGGAAACAGGUCGAAAUGCUUAAAGACUCUAUCCCUCUUAUUGAAGAGCUCCAUCUGAUGGGAAAUAAGCUGAGAGGAAUAACGCCAUUAUCUUCAGAUAUUGUUCAUGGAUUUGAUUCUCUCCGUCUUCUCAAUUUGGAGAAUAAUUUAAUAGCUGCCUGGGAUGAAAUCUUGAAGCUGUCACAGUUAAAAAGAUUGGAACAGCUCUUUUUGAAUAACAACUGUAUCAGUCAUAUCUGGUACCCUGAUCAUAAUCCAUUAUCUGAACCACCCAAUAGUCUUGAACUUCUUCGGGAAAGCUUUAGGCCUUUCCAGAAUCUUCGUUGCCUUCUUGUGGGAGGGAACAAAAUUGAAGACUUUUCUUCUAUUGAUACACUUAAUCUUUUUCCUAAUUUGUUGGAUAUAAGGCUUUCUGAGAAUCCAAUAGCAGAUCCAAGAAAAGGUGGUGUCCCCCGGUUUGUUUUGAUUGCUCGUCUUGCAAAAGUUGAAAUUUUAAAUGGAAGCCAGGUUAGUCCUCGAGAGAGGAAAGACUCUGAAAUUCGGUAUGUCCGUUUGGUCAUGUCUAAAUGCCAGGAUCCAGAGGAAAUCAAGAAACUUCACCCCAGAUUUGUGGAGCUGAAAAAAAUUCACGGGAUUGAGUAUGAAAAGGCUGCAACUGGAGCAACAGGUCCACAAAAACUGUCAUCGAGCCUCAUUUCUAUUACCCUGAAGUGUGUCGCAGCAUCAAUUGGUGAAAAAGUCCCAUUGACUAAAAAGCUGCCGGCAACAACAACAGUUGGCAAGCUGAAAAUCCUAUGUGAGAGUUUCUUCAAGAUAAAAUCUAUUAAACCGAAGUUGUUUAUUCAAGAAGAGUCAAACCUUCAAGAGUCAACAGUGGUAGCUAGCAAAGGCGACAUCAGAAUUAGUUUACCUCCUGAAGUGAAGGAUACUGGGUUGUACAAAAGGUGCCUGGUGGCAUCUUUCAAAGAAGGAAAAUUGAGAUCCAUCACUAUCAGACAUCCGGAAGUGAUCCUCAAUUUCGUGGAAAGUUGUAUUUGGGAUCAAUAUUUAUGAGAUGUCAAACAAGAUGUUUCUUUUUGAAUUUCCAAAUAGGAAUAUAGCAGAACAAAUAAUUCAGAGGGAAUGGAGUUGGAAGAAGACCAAAGUCAGUCUUCAAUGGUGGAACCCAGUUACCGGUUGUAUACCUGCAACUCAAAAUUCGACCACUACUUGGAUUCGUUCUUUGGGAGUGCCAUUGCAACUAUGGUCUCAACAAGUAUUUAGAGUAUGGGAAUUUAUGUGGAGGCUGGGUCUCAACAGAAGAAGAGACAGAUUUAAAGAACCACUUAAAAUGGGCAAGAAUUCAAAUUUCAUGAAAAGGAGAUAAUUGCCCAAAUGAGGUUAUGCUAGAAAGAGAUGGAAUCAAAUUUUUCAUUCCUAUUUGGGUGGAAAAGAAGGCUCGAUUUAUUAGAGCCUUACAGGAGAUGGAGAAAGCUGGUGAAGGAUCCAAAGGUUUGUGAAAUCCUUUGGACCCAUGGACAAAAGGAGUCCUUGGUACUAGGAAAAGACAAGGGUGUAAGUCAAACUUUGGUGUAGGACAGGCAGAACGUGGGAGGUGCAGACACAGCUAGAUGUCACUUUAAAAGAUUUAAACAAGUCAUGUGAGGAGGAGGUGGUGAUUUUAAAGUUUGAAAAACAAUCUAUGGGCCAAUGGAAUAAGGGAAUUGGGCUUGAUGGAGCAGCCCAAGUCAUCUUUAAUGACUUAACAAGACCAGCAUUUGAAAACCUUUUUGAUCCUCACUUAGUGGAAAUAAAAAGAUAUUGUCCUCUAACCUGACAAUCUUGCACCCAGGAGAUCGAUGCGACACUAGAAGAACUAUCAAAUAGUCCAGCAGCCGCUAAUAUUCAGAAGGAAUUAUCGCCGGAAGAAAUGGAGAUAGAAAUUGCCAUCGACAAAGUAGGGGCAGAGGGUCAGAUUUCAAUUGAUCAUCACAUUUCCAUUGUUCCAUGAAUCCAUACAAAAAUUGAAGAAUGGGUGGUUGAAGAUGUUCAGCCAAUCCAACCAAAUGAAGCACGAUUUCUUCAUAAAGAUAAGGAGACUACGACAUGGGUCAGACAAAAUCUAAUUAAAUUGGGGAAACUGUUUGGAAUUGACUUUCAAGGGCAUGAGGAAGAGACAUUAGAGCUACUCAUGCAGAUAGACAGCUGCAGACAGGCAAGAAAAAUGGAGAAUGAAAGCAUCACCAAAGACUAAGGUAUAAAGGGGUACAAGAACUCAAAAGAUUUGCUUCUUUUGAUGUCAAAUUCAAAGAUGAAGGGAAAAGAGACAGGGAGAGGGAAGGCAAGUUGUUGCAAUGAAGGUAAAACUUGUAUCAUGGAAUGUUAGGGGUUUGAACGAUAGGGAGAAAAGGAGAUUUGUGAAGAGUGAUUCACAACUGGAAUGUAGACAUAGUUUGACUUCAGGAAUCAAAAUUAGAAGGGGAUAUUAAAGAUUUAGUCAAAGAAAUUUGGGGUGGGAGAUGGGUGAAGUAUGCUUGCCUACAAGCUAGUGGCACAAGAGGAGGAAUUGUGAUGAUAUGGGAUAGUAUGUCUUGGAGACGGGAAGUGUUAGAAGUGGGAUCAUAUACCUUAACCUGUAAAUUUGAGGCACUUUUACUAGACUUUAAGUGUCAUAUAACAGGAGUAUAUGCUCCAAAUUGCAUAAUAGAAAGAGAACAUGUAUAGGAAGAAGUAGGAGCUGUCAGGAGUUUAUCUGUGGUGACUUUAAUGUCACCCGUUUUCCUUCAGAAAAAAGAAACUGUAGAAGAAGAUCAACAACCAUGGUGGAGUUCUCUGAUUUCAUUUCAAGAUAUGGAAUUGAUAGUACCACAAUUAGAAAGGGGGAAGUAUACAUGGUUCAAAGGAGAUGGUAACAAUGCAGCAUCCAGAAUUGAUAGAUUUUUAUUUUCCAAAGAAUGGGAUGACAACUUCACUAAAAUAAACCACACCCCAUUGCAUAGGUUGGUAUCUGACCACAACCCCGUGGCCCUGCAAUGUGGAGAGUGGGAGAAGAAUAAAUCUUAUUUGAAAUUUGACAACUGGUGGCUAAACACAUGGUUUUGUGGAUAGAAUUAAAGGGUGGUGGGAGUCUUUUGAAUUCACAGGAAAACCUGAUCACAUCUUGGCAUGCAAACUGAAAGCUCUAAAAGGGAAACUUAAAAAGUGGUGCAGGACCAACAUGGGCAAUCUGGGAACUCAAAAGAUUCAAAUUCUAAGUGAGUUGGUCAGGUUAGAGGCUAUCCAAGAAAAUAGAUUGUUGUCAGAAGAGGAAACUAUUAUGAAGGCAUCUUUUCUGAUGGUGUAUGAAGAACAUCUCAAAAACACCAGCUAUUUUCACAAGCUGGCCAAUGCACAUAGGAGAAGCAACCACAUUGAUCAAUUAGUGGUUUAGGGGAAAAGCAUAAUGGAUUCAGAGAGGAUCAAAGGGGAAAUCAUUGGUUUCUAUGAGAAGUUGUAUACAGAGACUAUUGGUAGAAGACCCAUAAGCAACCUGGUAAACAGUCCUUAUCUCUGAAGCAGAGAAGGAAGCUUUACAAGGUAAUUUUGAGGAACAAGAAGUUUUUUCUUGUUUGAAUAUGUGCCAUGGACAAAACACCUGGUCCAUAUUGCUUCACAAUGGGAUUUUAUAUUAAAUGUUGGGUGGUGCUGAAAGAGGACAUCAUGGGUACUUUCAGAAAUUUUCAUGCAAGGGGUGCUUUUAUAGAAGUUUUAAUGCUACCUAUGUUGCAUUAAUUCCAAAGCACACCAGAGCUAAGGAAUUGAGAGACUUUAGGCCUACUAGCCUCAUAGGUAGUAUCUACGAGCUGCUAUCAAAGGUACUCACAGAAAGAUUGAAAAGAGUGGUAGACAAGUUGGUUGAUACUCAACAGAUGGCUUUCAUAAAAAACAGGCAAAUAAUGGAUGCCAUCAUGAUAGCUAAUGAAGUGGUGGAUUCUAGAAUAUCACAGGGUAAGGCAGGAAUAUUAUGUAAAUUGGAUAUUGAGAAGACAUGUGAUCAUGUUAAUUGGGAAUACCUUCUGAAAAUACUUGUAUGGGAUUUGGGAGGAAAUGGAUCAAAUGGGUAAGAUUUUGUAUCUCAACAGGCAAAGUCUCUGUUCUGAUCAAUGGAGCACCAGAAGGUUUUUUUCCAGCUCAAAGAGGUCUGAGGCAGGGAGAUCCUUUGUUUCCUUUCCUAUUUGUUAUUGCCAUGGAGGGUUUAAAUAAUAUGAUAAAGAUAGCAGGGAACACUAACUAUCUAAGGAGAUUUGAGGUGGCAACAAAUCCUAAUUCUGUACCAAACUUGGCAGUCACACACCUUCAAUAUGCAAAUGACACUUUAAUCUUUUGUGAUGCUGAGGAAGGGCAAUUGUUGAUCUUAAGGUCAAUUUUGGUGCUAUUUGAAGGUGUCUCUGGGUUGCAUAUAAAUUGGAGGAAGAGUAUGUUGUUCCUUAUAAAUGAGGUUACCAACAUAGAGGAGUUGUCUAGAAUCCUAAGAGGGGAAGUAGGAACUUUACCUACCACCUACCUUGGAAUGCCUUUGGUAGCCAAAUCAAAUUCUAUGAACAUUUGGAGCUCGAUGAUGGAGAAGUGUGAAAAGAAGUUGUCCAGAUGGAAGUCACAUUAUUUAUCUUUAGGAGGCAGAGUUACCCUUAUAAACUCAGUGUUGGAUGCUCUUCCCACCUACAUGAUGUCCAUCUUCCCAGUCCCAAAUAGUAUCAUACAGAGGUUGGACAAGGUUAGGAGAGAUUUUCUUUGGAAAGGGAAUAAGGAGACUAAUUCAACAAUCCUUCAUCUGGUCAAAUGGAAAAAAGUGCUUUGGGGGAAAAAACAAGGGGGUCUUGGCAUUAGAAAUCUCAGGCUCUCAGAUUGAAAUGGCUUUGGAGAUAUUCACAAGAACCUCAAGCAUAUUGGAGUAAGUUUUAUUAAAAUCAAAUAUGGUGAAGAGGUUUGGUGGAUAACAGAGGAAGUCAAGACCCCAUAUGGGGUUAGUAUGUGGAGAUCAAUUAGAGUACUUUGGCCUUUCAUGAGGAAGCACACAAAUGUUAAAGUUGGAAAUGGGCUCAAGACUUCUUUUUGGAAGGACAAUUGGUUGAGAUCCGAUAGCUUAAACGGUUUAUUCCCUAACUUAGCUGUGAUGGCUAAACAACCGGAGCCAAGUGUGGCUGACACAUGGACACAACAAGAUUGGAACAUUCAUUUGAGGAGGGACCAGUGUUAUGAAAGGCGCUCGCCUCGUCGCCAAAGGCGAGAGGCGAGGCUAGGCGAGGGUGGCUCACCAUUCUCUGGCGAGGCGAGGCGAGGUGAAAAAGGCGAGGCCCUAGCGAUAAUGGCGCUGAAAUGGCGAGAGAAAGGCGCCGCCUUUUUUAUUAAAAAAAUUUUGACUUAAUAAUAUUAGUCAAAAUUAGGGUUUUUUUUUACUUUCGAAAAUUUCUGACUCUCUCUCGAUCGAUCAAUCGAUUCACUCUUCUCUUCUCCCUCGCCGGCCCUCACUGCUCCCUCGCCGGCCCUCGCUGCUCCCUCGCUGUCGCGUCUCUACUUCCUCGCUCUCCCUCGCUGUCGCAUCUCUUCACCCUCGCGGCUCGCCGGCGACCUCGCGACUCUCUCAGCGAAUUAAUUGUAUUUGAUAAUCAAUGGCGGAUGCUAGCAAAAAGAGGGACAUUGGAUGGAAUUAUGGCACUCAAGGAGCGACGAAAGAUUCGGUCACUUGUAACUUUUGUGGGAGUACUUUCAAUGGUGGAAUAACGCGACACAAACAACAUUUAGUGGGUGGUUUCAAAAAUGUUAAACAAUGUGCCGCUUGUCCGUCGGAAAUUAGAGAAGAAAUAAGGGCUUAUAUGCAAAACAAAAUAGCUAAUAAUCCCAAAUUUCAAAUGAGGCAACCGGAAGAAUUUGUUGAUAUUGAUGAUCUUGAUGAAAUGGAUGAUUAUGCGGAAAUGAGGCCUCCCUUCAAAACUCAAAGGAUAUCUUCUAGUGGAGGUUCAUCCACCGCACAGAGUGUGAUGAAAGGACCUUUGAACCUCUAUUUUUCACAAAAAUCAACACAAAAAGGAGGCUUAGAAAAAGGAGGAGGAAUCGAAGAAACAAAGAAAAUUCUAAGAGAGCGUGCGGUAAGUGCUUUUGCAAUUCGGAUGUAUGAUGCCGGGCUCCCUUUUAAUUGCGUCAAUCACAAAUCAUUCGAUAAAUUUAUUGAGGCGGUUGGACAACAUGGCCCCGGAAUGAAGCCUCCUACAUUCCAUGAAGUUAGAGUCACUCACCUUAAAAAAGAGGUAGAUAAAGUAGAAAAAAUUGUUGAGGAGCAUAAAGUGCAAUGGACAAAGUUUGGUUGUUCCAUUAUGAUGGACAAAUGUACGGCACGAAAUGGCAAAA